UGCCAGCCGCCGCGGUAAUACGAAUGGAGCGAGCGUUGUUCGGAAUCACUGGGCUUAAAGCGUAUGUAGGCGGACUUACAAGUCAGGAGUGAAAUCCCAGAGCUCAACUCUGGAACUGCUCUUGAAACUGUAAGUCUAGAAUACUGGAGAGGUUGGGAGAAUUCCGAGUGUAGAGGUGAAAUUCGCAGAUAUUCGGAGGAAUACCAGUGGCGUAGGCGCCCAACUGGACAGUUAUUGACGCUCAGAUACGAAAGCGUGGGGAGCAAACAGGAUUAGAUA
rnacentral:rRNA from 1 species